UACGUAGGCAGCAAGCGUUGUUCGGAGUUACUGGGCGUAAAGGGUGCGUAGGCGGUUCCCUAAGUUUGGUGUGAAAUCUCCCGGCUCAACUGGGAGGGUGCGCCGAAAACUGGGGAGCUAGAGUGUGGGAGAGGUGAGUGGAAUUCCUGGUGUAGCGGUGAAAUGCGUAGAUAUCAGGAGGAACACCGGUGGUGUAGACGGCUCACUGGACCAUUACUGACGCUGAGGCACGAAAGCGUGGGUAGCAAACAGG
rnacentral:rRNA from 1 species